GAUCAUGGCUCAGGAUGAACGCUGGCGGCGUGCCUAAUACAUGCAAGUCGAACGCUUCACUUCGGUGAAGAGUGGCGAACGGGUGAGUAAUACAUAAGUAACCUGGCAUCUACAGGGGGAUAACUGAUGGAAACGUCAGCUAAGACCGCAUAGGUGUAGGGAUCGCAUGAACUCUAUAUGAAAAGUGCUACGGGACUGGUAGAUGAUGGACUUAUGGCGCAUUAG
rnacentral:rRNA from 1 species